GCGAUGGUGGUGUAAUGGUCACAGCAUAGUUGCCUUCCAAGCAGUUGAUCCGGGUUCGAUUCCCGGCCAUCGCA